UUCAAUAAGCGGAGGAAAAGAAACUAACAAGGAUUCCCCUAGUAACUGCGAGUGAAGCGGGAUAAGCUCAAAUUUAAAAUCUGAUGGUGUUUGGCCAUCCGAGUUGUAGCCUAGAGAAGUGUUACCCACGCUGGACCAUGUAUAAGUCUCCUGGGAUGGAGCGUCACAGAGGGUGAGAAUCCCGUGUUUGACAUGGAUCGCUAGUGAAUUGUGGUAUGCUCUCAAAGAGUUGAGUUGUUUGGGAAUGCAGCUCUAAAUGGGUGGUAAAUUCCAUCUAAAGCUAAAUAUUGGCGAGAGACCGAUAGCGAACAAGUACCGUGAGGGAAAGAUGAAAAGAACUUUGGAAAGAGAGUUAAACAGUAUGUGAAAUUGUUGAAAGGGAAACGUUUGAAGUCAGUCAUGUUGGUUAGGGAUCAAACCAGCAGAAAAUGCUGGUUGUAGUUCCUGGUCAAUGGGUCAACAUCAGUUUUGAGCACUGGAGAAAGAAUUAGGGAAUGUGGCACCUUUUAGGUGUGUUUAUAGCCCUGAGUCAUAUACAGUGAUUGAGACUGAGGAAUUCAGCGCGCCGCAAGGCAGAGUCGUUUCGACUACAUUCGCGCUUAGGAUGUUGGCAAAUAAUGGCUUUAAGCGACCCGUCUUGAA
rnacentral:rRNA from 1 species